GGCUUUUUGAUUUUGAUUUAAGGUCUGGCCUGCUCAAUGAAGAAUUAAAUGGCCGCGGUAUUUUGACCGUGCAAAGGUAGCAUAAUCAUUAGUUUCUUAAUUAGAAGCUUGUAUGAAAGGUUUGAUGAGAAAAUAGCUGUCUCUAUAAAAAUUUAAUUGAAUUUUAUUUUUAAGUAAAAAAGCUUAAAUGAUUAUAAAAGACGAGAAGACCCUAUAGAGUUUUAUAGCUUUAGGUCUCAGGAUUAUUUGGAAUUUAAAAAAUUUUGAGACUUAGAUUUAUUUUGUUGGGGUGAUUGAAAAAUUGAAUAAACUUUUUUUGUAUAAAUACAUUAAUUAAUGGAUAUUUGAUCCUUAGGAAAGAUUAAAAGAAAAAAUUACCUUAGGGAUAACAGCGUUAUUUUUCUUUAGAGUUCGAAUUGAAAGGAAAGUUUGCGACCUCGAUGUUGGAUUAAAUUUUAUUGUUGGUGUAGGAGCUAACAUAUUAGGUCUGUUCGACCUUUAAAAAUUUACAUGAUCUGAGUUUAGACCGGCGUGAG
rnacentral:rRNA from 1 species